GCCGGUUUGGCUCAGUGGUCAGAGCGUUGGGCUUGGGACCGAAGGGUCUCAGGUUCGAUUCCGGUCAAGGGCA